AGUCGUAACAAGGUUUCCGUAGGUGAACCUGCGGAAGGAUCAUUACUGAUUUGCUUAAUUGCACCACAUGUGUUUUUUAUUGAACAAAUUUCUUUGGUGGCGGGAGCAAUCCUACCGCCAGAGGUUAUAACUAAACCAAACUUUUUAUUUACAGUCAAACUUGAUUUAUUAUUACAAUAGUCAAAACUUUCAACAACGGAUCUCUUGGUUCUCGCAUCGAUGAAGAACGCAGCGAAAUGCGAUACGUAAUAUGAAUUGCAGAUAUUCGUGAAUCAUCGAAUCUUUGAACGCACAUUGCGCCCUUUGGUAUUCCAAAGGGCAUGCCUGUUUGAGCGUCAUUUCUCCCUCAAACCCCCGGGUUUGGUGUUGAGCAAUACGCUAGGUUUGUUUGAAAGAAUUUAACGUGGAAACUUAUUUUAAGCGACUUAGGUUUAUCCAAAAACGCUUAUUUUGCUAGUGGCCACCACAAUUUAUUUCAUAACUUUGACCUCAAAUCAGGUAGGACUACCCGCUGAACUUAAGCAUAUCAAUAA
rnacentral:misc_RNA from 1 species